GCGCCAGGAGUGCAACGGGUUAGAGCACGCGCUCCUGGAGAGAGUGAGAUGCGGGUUCGAGUCCCGCUUAACGCG